rnacentral:rRNA from 1 species
GAGCUUGCUCCCGGAUGUUAGCGGCGGACGGGUGAGUAACACGUGGGUAACCUGCCUGUAAGACUGGGAUAACUCCGGGAAACCGGAGCUAAUACCGGAUAGUUCCUUGAACCGCAUGGUUCAAGGAUGAAAGACGGUUUCGGCUGUCACUUACAGAUGGACCCGCGGCGCAUUAGCUAGUUGGUGGGGUAAUGGCUCACCAAGGCGACGAUGCGUACCCCACCUGAGAGGGUGAUCGGCCACACUGGGACUGAGACACGGCCCAGACUCCUACGGGAGGCAGCAGUAGGGAAUCUUCCGCAAUGGACGAAAGUCUGACGGAGCAACGCCGCGUGAGUGAUGAAGGUUUUCGGAUCGUAAAGCUCUGUUGUUAGGGAAAAACAAGUGCGAGAGUAACUGCUCGCACCUUGACGGUACCUAACCAGAAAGCCACGGCUAACUACGUGCCAGCAGCCGCGGUAAUACGUAGGUGGCAAGCGUUGUCCGGAAUUAUUGGGCGUAAAGGGCUCGCAGGCGGUUUCUUAAGUCUGAUGUGAAAGCCCCCGGCUCAACCGGGGAGGGUCAUUGGAAACUGGGAAACUUGAGUGCAGAAGAGGAGAGUGGAAUUCCACGUGUAGCGGUGAAAUGCGUAGAGAUGUGGAGGAACACCAGUGGCGAAGGCGACUCUCUGGUCUGUAACUGACGCUGAG